rnacentral:rRNA from 1 species
UACGAAGGGGGCUAGCGUUGCUCGGAAUCACUGGGCGUAAAGGGUGCGUAGGCGGGUCUUUUAAGUCAGGGGUGAAAUCCUGGAGCUCAACUCCAGAACUGCCUUUGAUACUGAGGAUCUUGAGUUCGGGAGAGGUGAGUGGAACUGCGAGUGUAGAGGUGAAAUUCGUAGAUAUUCGCAAGAACACCAGUGGCGAAGGCGGCUUACUG